rnacentral:rRNA from 1 species
AUACGUAGGGAGCAAGCGUUGUCCGGAUUUACUGGGUGUAAAGGGUGCGUAGGCGGCUCUGCAAGUCAGGCGUGAAAUAUAUGGGCUUAACCCAUAGACUGCGUUUGAAACUGUGGAGCUUGAGUGAAGUAGAGGUAGGCGGAAUUCCCGGUGUAGCGGUGAAAUGCGUAGAGAUCGGGAGGAACACCAGUGGCGAAGGCGGCCUACUGGGCUCUAACUGACGCUGAGGCACGAAAGCAUGGAUAGCAGACAAGAUUAGAUGCCCUGGUAGUGCAUGCCGUAAACGAUGAUUACUAGGUGUGGGGGAUCUGACCCAAUCCGUGCCGGAGUUAACACAAUGAGUAAUCCACCUGGGGAGUACGACCGCAAGGUUGA